rnacentral:rRNA from 1 species
AUUGAACGCUGGCGGCAGGCCUAACACAUGCAAGUCGAGCGGCAGCGGAAAGUAGCUUGCUACUUUGCCGGCGAGCGGCGGACGGGUGAGUAAUGUCUGGGAAACUGCCUGAUGGAGGGGGAUAACUACUGGAAACGGUAGCUAAUACCGCAUAACGUCGCAAGACCAAAGAGGGGGACCUUCGGGCCUCUUGCCAUCAGAUGUGCCCAGAUGGGAUUAGCUAGUAGGUGGGGUAACGGCUCACCUAGGCGACGAUCCCUAGCUGGUCUGAUAAGAUGACCAGCCACACUGGAACUGAGACGCGGUCCAGACUCCUACGGGAGGCAGCAGUGGGGAAUAUUGCACAAUGGGCGCAAGCCUGAUGCAGCCAUGCCGCGUGUAUGAAGAAGGCCUUCGGGUUGUAAAGUACUUUCAGCGGGGAGGAAGGUGUUGAGGUUAAUAACCUCAGCAAUUGACGUUACCCGCAGAAGAAGCACCGGCUAACUCCGUGCCAGCCGCCGCCGUAAGAC